CGGCAUGACAGGCACCUCGCUCAGGCCAUUCCCCCUUGUCCUGCCAUCCAAGUCUGUGUGAAAAGUCCCUCUCCAGGGAUACGGAUGCCGAGGGAACAGAAGGAACACAGUGGAGGAAUGGUGGGACCACCCCCUCCAUCACAGCACAGUGUCAGGUUUGCCAACUUGGAAGAAAUUUUCUAUCCUGGAUGUUGCCUCAGGAUGAUUUUUCUUCUUUAAACCCACCCUUCCCUGGUUUUUGUUUGGGUUUUUUUUUCUUUGCUUUGUUUUGCUUUCAGGGAAAAGAAUAUUGAGAAUUUGGUCUUAUUCUGAAAGAGUCAGAUUUUAGCUGGGGGAAUUUAUAAGCAACUGCAAAACAAGUGCAAGUUUAACAGGCUGAAAAAACAGCAGCAAAAAUAUUUCUAGCUUAGAUUGUCACGAGAAAGAACUUUUUGCUGUCUUUUUCCUGUUGCUUUUUGAGGCAGUGAAAUCAAUAUGUAAUAAAUUGUAGUAAAUAUCCCAACUUCUGGUGUUAAUUUUAACCCAAAACACCCCAAGGCAAAUCCUCAUGAGGGGCAGGGACAGGACCCAGGGAACAAACAAAUGGUAUCAUUUCCUCUUUUUUUCCUUUCUUAAAAAAGGAAAUAUUUCCAGGCAAGGUCCAAUGAAGCAAAAGUCCUAAAAAUGGGUGAGGAAUUGGGCAGUUCCAGCCUCGGUCACCACGGGGGCCCUGCCGGGUUUGGGCCGGGCAGUGUUGGGCACACAGGAGAUUGUGGCUGUGCCAGGGAAAUGAGGCACCAACAAAUGCAGGGUUUGAAGUUUCCCUUGUGCUGUCCCAUUCCUGAGAAGUGCUGGCCAAGGGGGAGAUGGGUCAGGAAAUCUGGAGAGGAGUCUCUGUUCCCUCAGGCCCCGAUCUCUGCUGGCUGGGACAGGGACAGCACCCAGGGAAGGGCUGGAGCUGUGCCAGGGCAGGCUCAGCUUGGAGCUCAGCACAAGGUUCUUCCCCCAGAGGGUGGUUGGCACUGCCCAGGCUCCCCAGGGCAGUGGGCACGGCCCCAAGGCUGCCAGAGCUCCAGGAGCGUUUGGGCAACGCUCUGAGGGACAGGGGGGAGUGUUGGGGUGUCCUGGGCAGGGCCAGGGCUGGCACUGGAUGAGCCUGGUGUGUCCCUCCCAACUCAGGAUAUUCCAGGAUUCUACCCACAAGGAAGUUGCCUUUCUCCCACCAUGAGCUCUUGUUUCUUGCUUUCUGAGUUAUCCUCUCCCUGCUCUCCGUGAUCCGCCUUUGCCGUGAGCAGCUGUCCCAGAGCCCCCACAGAACCCCUGGAGCCCAACCCUGCCCUGCAGAGGAGUUGGGGAUCUCCACACGGGUGACCUACUUCAGUUCCUAACUGGCUUUGACACUCUUUUCCAGUUGCAUGGAUUAAGAUUUUUCCUUCCUGAAGUCAUCGGGCUCCGGCCGGACCUUUCACCGCUCUGAACCGGGAUGGUAAAACUCACAGUGUCUCCCCCUGCCCUUUGCCACGGUAUUUUCAUGGGAACUUACAACUCAUCCAGCUGGGGAUGUGGCUUCCAGCAGCUCCCAGCAGAGGAUGCCCAAGGAAGAGCUCACAAACAAGGUACUGGAAGGACCUUUUGGGAUGUGGAGAAAAGAACUGCACAAACCACUCAAUAUGCAGAGAACUAUGGAUUUAUACUGGGGUGGGCGUGUUACAAUGUUCCCUGGUUUGUUCUCUGUCUUGUUCUCUUAACAAUUCCAAAUAUUUUGAUUUGUUUCUCUGAGUAACAGGGAACAUUGUGCUGAGAUUUUUAUAGAAAUAUUAAUCAGAACCCAAAGAUCUCAUUUGUGAGUGGAAAACCAGCUUAGAGCCCAUCCUUGUGUGCACGGAAUUUUCCCCCCAUGUUCACUAUUUUACUACAUUAUUUUAUCUGCCAUUUUAUUAUACGCUCACUCAGCCUUGUAAGGUCUUCAGAGUGAACGUCCCAAUUUGUCCUCUACCUUUCCUUUACCUGGAUGCUCAGUAUCUUUAGAAAUCUGUGGCAUUUCACUGCUCCCCCCUUCCCCAGAUCCUUUAGGAAUACAUUCAGCAGCACCAGGUCCCUGCAGACUCCCCUUGUGAUCCCCCUCUUCUAUGAAAACUGACCUUUUAUUGUUGUUUUAUUUCCAUUUCCUGUCAUCCAGCCAGUUUUUGAUCCAGCCUUCUCUUGCUUCUUGUUGCACAAAGGCCUUUUUAAUGUCUUUUUUUUUUUUUCUUCUUCCAAAUGAUGCUUUGUGUGGGAAUCUCAUUGCCCCUGGAAAUCCUGGGAAUGCUUAAACAUGGAUCUUCAUGUUAUUGAGGGAAGGGUCACACACUGCAGUGGGCAACUGAGUUAUCUCAGAGCUCCUGGGUGGAGCCCACCUGGUCCCCAGGAUGGCUUGACCUUGCCUGCUUAUAUUUGUGAUAGAUCAGUUAAAUUCCCCAUAAUUCCAAAUUCUGGAAUGGAUUCCACACCUCCAGUGCUGUGGCCAGGUCUGGGCCCCUCAGGACAGGAAGGACAUUGAGGGGCUGGAGGAGUCCAGACAAGGGGCAGGACUGAGAUAGAAAUAUUUACAUCUAAAAUAAUCUCCCAGCUCAGAAACAGGGCCCCAACUCAUCAUCUCAUGAAUGGUUUGAUUUGGAAAUAUGAGGAAUGACUUACAACCCCCAGCUCCUUUCCUGGACCUGCAUCCAAUUCCGACUCCUUCCACUAGACCAGCUUGCUCAGAUCCUCAUCCAACCUCACACGGAAGUUAAAAAUCAUUUCCCUGCUGUCCCUUCCUCCAGUUUAAAGUGUGGCAUCAAAACCCACAUCCCCCAACAUGUUUGGGAUGGUGUCUCCUAUCUGUAAUUGCCAAUGGAAAAAGGUAUUUUAGGGACUCAGUUCCACAGUUUUACUUCUGCAUGACAAGAAGAAAACUAAAAAAAAAAAAAUACAUGUGUCUGUCUCAGGUGGCUCCAACCAUCAGAACAGCCAGGAUGUGAAUAUUAAUUACCAUUAAUUAAUUAGCAACCUGCACACCCAGUGACACACUCCUUACAACGAGGAGGAAGAAACAUCAGUGGACAAAAGCUGACCCAUAAUCUGUAAUUUUAGACGCGGAGUUUGAAAAGUUAUUUAUAUCACAGCAAAAUGUAAACAGCUGAGGGCAUGGGUAUCACUUACAAGCUAUUCCCCCUGGUCUCAAAGCAGUAUUUUAAAAAAUUAAAUUUAAAAAUGUUCUGUUUCGGUCUCAUUUGAGGUCGCAACAAAACUUUAGUGACCAAGGGAAUAAAGUGAGACCAAACUGGUGAGUUGAUCCACUCAAGCUUUUGUCACAACAAAUAUGAGGGAUUAUUUGUUCCCCCAGAUAAAUUUUGGACACCACCUUUUUUUGUUCAAUGUGAGUGUCAAUGUUUUCAGUGUAACCACCACAUUUAUGUAAUUAUAUUAUUUCGGUAUAGAAACACCAAAUUAUUUUUCGAGGCCUGUCAGCACUCAAAGAGUCGAUUUUACACAUUAAUAUUUCAUUAUUAUUUUUAUAUUAUUUAUUAAAAUACUUUACAAUAUUACUUUAAUAUAACUUUAAUAUAUUUUAAUAUAACCCUAAUAUAAUUAUUUUAAUUUAACAUUCUUUAAAAACCCACCUUUUUUAACGCAGCCUGCUACAAAUUAUUGCUGCUGGCAGGAUGCACAAAUUCCAGUAGGAAUGUGCAACUGCUUUGAACUGCUUUUGUUCUCCAUACAUGUAUCCUACUAUAAAUGUCUAAAUCACUUGUUUUGUUUCAUCCGCUGGUUUUUUUUCCACCUCCUACAUGUUUGAUAACUCUAUUUUCCUUAUUUGCUAAUUCUUUUGAGAUGCAAGUAAAGCUCAGUGCAAUUUUCAGUCAGUUCAAGCCCUUUUAAACUAGGAGGGAAUUCCCUUAAAAAUGGUGCAAUUUUGCUGGAAAAUGAGUUCACUCUUAAUGACCUUUGAAAUUCCUUGGCCAACAUGAUGCCUUAUGGUGUUAUUUAUUUUUAUAUAUUUUAUUCUGCCUCUCUCAAUUUUAACAUGACACAAAAUCCGGCUUUUUAGACCUUCUGUCUGGACUUUCCCUCAGCUUAGUUUCACCUCAAUUAGCUUUUCUCACCUUGAUAUGGGAACAAAUCAGUUUAUUUUGGUGCCUUUUGUGGUCUUUUCUCAUUAGUUCUUUUAGAGAACCUUGCUAAGAUUUAAUGUCUGUGCAGUCCCUCCAUGUGGUGCAGAUAUUUCAAUUUCUUUAUGAUUAUCUCCCUCCUUUCUGAGGCAUUCAGAAGCACCACUAUUUAUGUGCUCCAGUGCUGGGAUUUGGUGGGAUUUCUCCACCAGAGAUAAUGAAUUUUAAUUUACUUCCUGUAGUUCAGUGUAUCAGUUAUUUCUUCUAUUAACUCCUCGGUGUAACUUAGGCCUUUUGACUCAGAUGCUCUAAAAAACAAUGUUCAGUUUAGUCAAAUGUGCUUGUAAAAACCGUGAAGUGAUCUAAAAAUUAUCCAGCACUGGAAUAAUAUUUGAAGUGACUGUUUGAUUAGACUUAAUCACCUCUAAACUCCUCCAACCCUGUGUGCUCCACAUCCUGCUGAUGGCAAGCAGUGAAAUCACAGGUGCCUUUUUUGUCAUCCCUUUCCAUCUCUUGGAAAACUUCUCCUGUUGAAUUCCUUGAGGCAGGUCCCUUCCAGCUGAAACCAUUCCGUGAUUCUGUGGUGCCUCCUCUGGGCUCUCUCCAGCAGCUCCCUGUGCUCCCUGUGCUCUUCCCAGGGCUGGAGCAGCUCUGCAGGUGGAGUAAAUAAAACUAUGUUAAAAAAACCAGGCUGUGGGCACCAAUAUUCCACUGAGAAGCCCAUUUCCCCUUUAGUUGCGAUUUCCUGAAGGAAUUCCCGUUCCCAAACCAAGCCUAAAAUUGUCAGUCUCACCAUUUGUCCAAAUUUGGGGUGGAUUUUUCAAGUGGAUGGACACAGCAGGCCCCUGACAAUGACAGGCCUCGGUGCCAAAAAUUCCAGCCUUUGCUCUGAGGCUUGAACUGUUUCAUUUUGAUGAAGUCUUCCCAAAUAAUUCAGUGGGAGGUGGAUCCUCUGUAAAGAAAAUCUAUGACCUGGAUCAACCAAAAGAAAAUCCUGUUACUGGAGAGGGAACUUUCAUAAGGGAGUGACAGGACAAGGGGGAAUGGUUUUGAGUGGAAAGAGUGGAGAUUUAGAUUAAAUAUUGGGAAGAAAUUGUUCCCUGUGAGGGUGGGGAGGGGCUGGGAUAGAAUUCCCAGAGAAGCUGUGGCUGCCCCUGGAUCCCUGGAAGUGUCCA